GUGGGGAAUCUUCCGCAAUGGACGAAAGUCUGACGGAGCAACGCCGCGUGAACGAUGACGGCCUUCGGGUUGUAAAGUUCUGUUAUACGGGACGAAUGGUACGACGGCCAAUACCCGUCGUAAGUGACGGUACCGUAAGAGAAAGCCACGGCUAACUACGUGCCAGCAGCCGCGGUAAUACGUAGGUGGCAAGCGUUGUCCGGAAUUAUUGGGCGUAAAGGGCGCGCAGGCGGCGUCGUAAGUCGGUCUUAAAAGUGCGGGGCUUAACCCCGUGAGGGGACCGAAACUGAGAUGCUAGAGUAUCGGAGAGGAAAGCGGAAUUCCUAGUGUAGCGGUGAAAUGCGUAGAUAUUAGGAGGAACACCAGUGGCGAAAGCGGCUUUCUGGACGACAACUGACGCUGAGGCGCGAAAGCCAGGGGAGCAAACGGGAUUAGAAACCCGAGUAGUCC
rnacentral:rRNA from 1 species